rnacentral:rRNA from 1 species
GUCUGCGGCCACGCCACCCUGAACAAGCCCGAUGUCUGAUCUCGGAAGCUCAGCAGGGUCGGGCCUGGCUAGUACUUGGAUGGGAGACCACCUAGGAGGACCAGGUGCUGUAGGUG